GCGCAGGCGGUUUCUUAAGUCUGAUGUGAAAGCCCCCGGCUCAACCGGGGAGGGUCAUUGGAAACUGGGAGACUUGAGUGCAGAAGAGGAGAGUGGAAUUCCAUGUGUAGCGGUGAAAUGCGUAGAUAUAUGGAGGAACACCAGUGGCGAAGGCGGCUCUCUGGUCUGUAACUGACGCUGAGGCUCGAAAGCGUGGGGAGCGAACAGGAUUAGAUACCCUGGUAGUCCACGCCGUAAACGAUGAGUGCUAAGUGUUGGAGGGUUUCCGCCCUUCAGUGCUGCAGCAAACGCAUUAAGCACUCCGCCUGGGGAGUACGACCGCAAGGUUGAAACUCAAAGGAAUUGACGGGGGCCCGCACAAGCGGUGGAGCAUGUGGUUUAAUUCGAAGCAACGCGAAGAACCUUACCAGGUCUUGACAUCCUUUGACCACUCUAGAGAUAGAGCUUCCCCUUCGGGGGCAAAGUGACAGGUGGUGCAUGGUUGUCGUCAGCUCGUGUCGUGAGAUGUUGGGUUAAGUCCCGCAACGAGCGCAACCCUUAUUGUUAGUUGCCAUCAUUUAGUUGGGCACUCUAGCGAGACUGCCGGUGACAAACCGGAGGAAGGUGGGGAUGACGUCAAAUCAUCAUGCCCCUUAUGACCUGGGCUACACACGUGCUACA
rnacentral:rRNA from 1 species